rnacentral:lncRNA from 1 species
GUAUACUUUUAAGGUUCUUAGCCUAGUUAAAUUUGAUCGUGUUUUCGAGGAGUAUAACUGCAAAGGAAUGUUUUUUACACAUCUGUCAGAUCGAUUCAAUUCAAUGGGUCAGAAUUAUAGAAAUUCCUUGCAUGCAAGAGAAAAAGGAUUUGCUGCAUCAAACUACAAACUUGCAAUGAUUUUGGCCUUCUAAUAGUUCUUUACUUUCGUUUGUGUUGAUUUAUAAUUUAUGUGAGUCCGACAAUUUUGACAAUUUGAAACUUUCUACCGUAUAUUAAGUAUAUCAUAAUUAUGAUGUGAGAGGAUGUCGUCCUGGAAAACCUGUUCACAUGACAGAAGCAGAAGUCAGGGGACUUUGCCUCAAAUCGAGAGAAAUAUUUCUUCAGCAACCCAUCUUGCUGGAGCUUGAAGCUCCUCUAAAAAUAUGUGGUUAGUUUUUAGAUUUGACUAUUUGAGAACAUAAUGAACGACAAGUUUUUCAUUUCAUUUAAAGCAAUUUUUUUUAGAAAAAUUAAGGGUUGAUGAAACUAAUUAUAUUUUUUUAUGUUCUCACUGCACAUUACUAGCACUCGUUGCAAUGUUUGUUGGUUAUUUCUGAAAUACUUAACGUAAAAUCAUACAAACAGUUAUCAAGUAGAAAGUCGAGAUGAAGUAAACCUCGUUAAUUGUAUUCCUUAAAAUAGUAUUCUUCUUUUUUAAUAAAUUUUUUGUUUAUUU